UACAUGGGGUGCAAACGUUGCUCGGAAUUACUGGGCGUAAAGCGUGCGUAGGUGGUUUGUUAAGUCUGAUGUGAAAGCCCCGGGCUCAACCUGGGAAUUGCAUUGGAUACUGGCGGGCUAGAGUGCGGUAGAGGGUAGUGGAAUUCCCGGUGUAGCAGUGAAAUGCGUAGAGAUCGGGAGGAACAUCUGUGGCGAAGGCGACUGCCUGGACCAGCACUGACACUGAGGCACGAAAGCGUGGGGAGCAAACAGG
rnacentral:rRNA from 1 species